UUAUCGUUAAUCAUUUGCAGUACGCCAAGUCAUCGGAACCUUUAGCAGUAUAACAAGAAUGUUAAUUCAUUAAGCCUUAGGUCCUUCGCCCACGGGACUAUUUAACCAUAUUCAGGUUUCGUGCAUUCUUCUCCAACAGAACCUGAAGCAUCCAAACCUGGUGAACCUGAUCGAAGUGUUUCGGCGCAAGCGCAAGCUGCACUUGGUCUUCGAGUACUGCGACCACACCGUGCUACAUGAAUUGGAGAAGUAUCCAGCUGGCUGCCCCGAGCUCCUCUCGAAGCAGAUCAUCUGGCAGACCCUGCAGGGCGUCGCGUACUGUCACCGGCACAACUGCAUCCACCGGGACGUGAAGCCCGAGAACAUCCUGUUGACAGGCGACGGCGUGGUCAAGCUGUGCGACUUCGGCUUCGCGAGGAUGAUUAGUGGCAGCUGUUCCUCAGAGUAUUCCGUCCAUACCAUGAUACCCUUCGGCGUGGACGUCAGGAGACGAGCUAGUAACUAUUUAUACCAACAUUUAACUUACUCGUAGAAAUGUUUUGGUAUAUAGCAUUUUAGUUAUGUAGUGUAAAGAU
rnacentral:lncRNA from 1 species